GGUCCCAUAACUCAGUUGGUUAGAGUGUCGUACUAAUAUUAUGACUCUGUUAUAACAUUGGUAAUGCGAAAGUCGUGAGUUCAAGCCUCACUGGGACCA